AGAAUGAAAAUAUUAGCUUACCAAAAAAUACAAAUCGAAAUAAAACGUUGCUGGAAAAAAAUCAUUCCAAUUUCUCUCGGCACAAAAUUAAGGCAUUAAUAAAAAAGAAUUGGUUUAUAUUUUCAAGAGAUAUUCUUUAUAUGAUGUUUGUACUUUUAUUGCCAUUUGCUCAAAUGUUCAAUUUUAAUUUAACAUCUGGGACUUCAUUUAAGGAUAUUAACAUAGCGAUUUUAAAUUAUGAAGCAAAUACAUCAAGUUGUACCAAUGCCGUGGAUUUAAAUAGCUGUUUAUUAGAAAACGAUUUUAAUGGAACAUUAAGUUGUGAUAUGAUAAAUUAUUUAAGAUCUCUUGAUUAUAAUAUUUUGUAUAUAAAAAACAACGACGACGGAAUUAAAGCUGUAAAUAAAGGGCGUGCAGUAGCAUUUAUACAUUUUCAUUAUAACUACUCAAAAGAGUUACUUAGAUUUGUAAAUUAUGACGAUAAUUAUUCACAAGAAUC